AUGCCCGAUUCGCAGAGGGGGGGCUGGGGACGGUCGGGUGGAGAAGGCGCCGGCCCAACUCCGCACAGCGGCGCCCGCACAAAGGGCCGCUCUGUCCCGAGGGAGGAAAGUGCAGGCGGCCGCAGAGGCGCCGGGCGGCCGGGGAGGAGGGAGGGCGGAGGGAGGGCGGAGCGCCCGGACCCCGGCGACAGGAGUUGGGCAGAUGGGUGGCCGCUGGGGGAGGGCCCGCAGUGCCCCCGCUGCGGAGAAGUUGCCGGCCGGCCGCGGCACCAGCCCGCGGGGGCUGGCCCCGGAGCAGGAAUGGGAGUAAGCAGCCCAUGGCCACUGGGACUGAGGCGGAGCCAGGUCCACUCACGGGAAGUGUCCCACUUGCAGCUGUGGGGCCCUUCCUCCCUCUGUCGCCCUGUGGGGCUCUGUCCAGGGAAAACUGCGUGGCCAGCUCUCCCCGAGUGUCAGCCCACCGCACUGGGGUCUUCAACUGUCAUCAACUCUGCAGCAAGCAUGUAGACCACCGCCACCCAGACUGUGCGGAACUCAGCCAACACAGGAAACCUUGUGGGGCUCUUAUCUUCUUCUAGGGGGGCAGAUGGUACAUCGAGGGGGGUGUCCUCUCCAAACACAUGGGGGAGCACUCUGAUACUCCAGGCAGAGGGGGCUCAAGGAAAGGACAACCAGCCAGGCCCCCGAGCUGGGCUGCCCGCAGGACCCAGCAAAGCACCCCUCCCCAAGGAGCAGGCAGGCACUGCGGCCUCCCAGACGGGGCACUUUGCGGUGACGGGGCGGGAGGUCACUGACAGGUGAGCAGACCCUAUUUCCAGCACUAGUGUUAAGCUGACUUUAUAAAUUUUAAGAACAAAUCAGUAUCCACACUGCUGUGUUGUUAAUCACCGUAAGGACAGCCUUUCUGGGCCCCGGGCCAGCGCCAGAAGCCCCACCGGUCUCCCCGCCAUCACAAGCAGCCCUGAGCCCAGCCCCAGCGGCCUGGGCCAGAGCCCGUGUGCGUGGGGACAGCCUCCAAGAGGCAGGGGGACGGUAACCCCAUGGGUGGGGGCUCCAACAAAUGGAAGGGGACCUAAAACACCACAGCCCAAGGUCAAGGAUGUCCAACAGUCUCGGGAAAAGACACGACGUGGUCACGCAUGCUCAUAUAUUCCAGGACUGACGAGGGACCUGGGAAAGUGUUCCCAAGGGCGGACACCAAACCAAACUCAGAACCCAGACGCCCACCCUGGGAACCUCCAGGCCCCCAAGCCACUGGAAACACAGAGGCAAAGAGGCAGCUGGGAACCACGGGGCAGCCAGCUCCCCAGGCAGGGCUCUGAGCAGAGGCCGGACGGGGGUCAGUGGGUGUGUUAGCCAAGGACACACCAACAUCGCCCCCCUGGUCCACCUCCGCUCCAGCAGGACCUGGCGGGUGCCUCUGUCCCUGCGCUGUCCCUGUGCUGUCCCUGCUCACUGGUGGCCCAGAUGACAGGGGAAGCAUCUCGAGGCCUGGCAGCUCAGACAUGCAGGGCGCCCGCCUCCACUGUGGGCUCUAACGAAUUCCCUCGUGGGGUUUCUUGGAAAUCAGUGACUAUAAUGUAAUCACAGCUGCUGGGGCUCUGAACAAGCCAGCUCAGUGGCUCCGUUCGGUUAUAAUUAUUACGAAAGCGCAGUUAAGAAACCGUGAGGAUGAACUGAAACCUUUAGGAAAACCCAAGAGCCUGUGGAGGGGCGGCCCCACCUUGCGGCCGAGCCCUCAACCGCCACCACGCCACCCCACCCAGACCAGGACAUCCCACCCCUUCCUGCGGGUCAUCCUGACCCAGGGUGGCAGCCCCAGGUCCACCCUGACGGAGCUCCGUCCACCUGGAUGUGCCUGACCCCAUGUAACCAGGCAGAUCCAGGGCGGGGGCGGGGCCCGGCCGGCGGCAACCACCCCUGUGCACAGUCCCUGCGGUCUUUGCCCCAGCCCCCCCGGGAGCAGCACCCUGGGACCCCAAGACAACCAUCAGUGGAGGCGGCCAUCACUACACCCUGCUCAGCUCUUCGACCCACCCCCUCUGGGCCUUGUUUUCCUUCCACAAAAUGAGGGGAGUUAUCAGAUGCCCUCCAGAGACCAGCAGCUCUGAGCCAGCUCCUGACCAACGUCCUGCCCAGCCCCUCUACGGGGCGGUGGGGGGUUCUCCUAAAAGGGCCACAGGGCUCUAGGACAGGGGGAGCAGCCAGCAGUGCCAUCCCAAGCCUCGGCCAACCAUCCCAAGUUGGUGACUGGACCUCUCAGACACCACCUGCCUCCUCCUCAUGCCUCGGUGGGGACGGCAGCCCAACCCCUGGGGAGGCUGACCCAUGCCCACUCUGCCCCGGGGCGCCCUCGCCCGGAAUGCACCGAGCACAGCACCCAGAGUCACGGAGAAGCGCCCAGCUGCCCCAGGCGGGGCUCCCUGAAGACACCACGACCCCUGGGACGGCCGGUGGGGAGACCUGGGCCUCCUGGACCCCCAGGGACAGGCCCACAGUGCCCCUUGGCAGCCGGCGGGCCACUGCAGAGCCCUGGCCCCUGUCCUGUGCGCCCACCUUCACUCCCUCGGGUGGGGUGGGCUGGCAGCCCCACCGGUCCUGCCGGACACCCCCUGGGCCCUGGGUGUUUGCUUCCUUCCUUCUCCCCAAAGAAAAACACAUUUUCCAAGAGCGGCUGAUUUCAUUUUGCUAACUUUACCCUCACGUAUGGCCCACUUUACGACUAGGAUUUUGUGCUGACUGCCUGGAUCCCAUGGAAUUUUGGAGCGGGAGGAACAAGCCUGUGUCUUACGGCUGCAGUCACUUGCGCUCCGUCUGAGCUGUGCAGACGCUCACAGACCCCUCAGCUCUGCUCCAGAGCAGGACUGCAAGGGUACCGGCCCCCCGGGGCUGCCAACCCCGCGGCCCUCCUCAGCUCCGGAGACAGAGGGGAGCCCGGGAGGGAGGCCAGAGGCACAACCCCAGACCAGGGCUCAGGGGGCUGGCUCUGCUGUUCCCUCUGAGACCAGGGGGUGGGAGAGGGAGGAGGCUCCCACGCUGGCGCAGGGUCCCCUGGAGGCUCACGAUGUGAUCUCACUGGAGCCCCGGUCUCUGCAGAGGCGGCCCAUCCAGCCGGACUGAGGGUGAGCCGUAUGCCCUGGGAAGGAGCCGCGGACACACGGGGGAGCCUGGCCACGGAGGCAGGAUGGGAGGGGUGUGGCGGGAACCAGGGAAUGCCUAUGCCUGCAGCUGCUAGAGGCUGGGAGGGCCUGGGAGGGAGCAGGGCCCUGGGACACCUUGACCUCCAGACCCGGGCCAGCACAAAGUUCUGCUGUUUUAGGCCACGC
rnacentral:lncRNA from 1 species